CAGCCGUAAACUAUGCGCGUUAGGUGUACUGGUGACCACAAGUCACCGGGGUGCCGAAGGGAAACCGUGAAACGUGCCGCCUGGGAAGUACGGUCGCAAGGCUGAAACUUAAAGGAAUUGGCGGGGGGAGCACCACAACGGGUGGAGCCUGCGGUUUAAUUGGAUUCAACACCGUAAAACUCACCAGGGAAGACUGUUACAUGAAAGCCGAGAUGAAGACUCUGCUAGAUUUUCAGAGAGGAGGUGCAUGGCGUAGACGUCU
rnacentral:rRNA from 1 species